rnacentral:misc_RNA from 1 species
AAGUCGUAACAAGGUUUCCGUAGGUGAACCUGCGGAAGGAUCAUUACCGAGUGGCGCGAAAUUCCUGUCGUGAGACGGGGAAGCUACCCGACCUUUUGUCAUUUUGUCGAGUCUGGCUGGCGGGAUUGCAUUCGUGAGAAGCGAAUGUGGAUUUCGGCAGACGGACCAAAACUUCGGCGGAAGAGGUAGGCGUUGACCUGCCCGCCGCCGGCCGUAGAAGACAAUACACAUUCUUAAGAGCAAACUGAAGUCUAAGACGAUACUUGAAAAAGAAAUAGUAAAAAAGCAAAACUUUCAACAACGGAUCUCUUGGCUCUC